AAGCAGCCAUCAUUUAAAGAAAGCGUAAUAGCUCACUGGUCGAGUCGGCCUGCGCGGAAGAUGUAACGGGGCUAAACCAUGCACCGAAGCUGCGGCAGCGACGUUUAUGCGUUGUUGGGUAGGGGAGCGUUCUGUAAGCCUGUGAAGGUGGCCUGUGAGGGUUGCUGGAGGUAUCAGAAGUGCGAAUGCUGACAUAAGUAACGAUAAAGCGGGUGAAAAGCCCGCUCGCCGGAAGACCAAGGGUUCCUGUCCAACGUUAAUCGGGGCAGGGUGAGUCGACCCCUAAGGCGAGGCCGAAAGGCGUAGUCGAUGGGAAACGGGUUAAUAUUCCCGUACUUGGUGUUACUGCGAAGGGGGGACGGAGAAGGCUAUGUUGGCCGGGCGACGGUUGUCCCGGUUUAAGCGUGUAGGUGUGUGUUCCAGGUAAAUCCGGUUCACUUUAACACUGAGGCGUGACGACGAGGCACUACGGUGCUGAAGCAACAAAUGCCCUGCUUCCAGGAAAAGCCUCUAAGCAUCAGGUAACAUCAAAUCGUACCCCAAACCGACACAGGUGGUCAGGUAGAGAAUACCAAGGCGCUUGAGAGAACUCGGGUGAAGGAACUAGGCAAAAUGGUGCCGUAACUUCGGGAGAAGGCACGCUGACACGUAGGUGAAGUGAUUUACUCAUGGAGCUGAAGUCAGUCGAAGAUACCAGCUGGCUGCAACUGUUUAUUAAAAACACAGCACUGUGCAAACACGAAAGUGGACGUAUACGGUGUGACGCCUGCCCGGUGCCGGAAGGUUAAUUGAUGGGGUCAGCGCAAGCGAAGCUCCUGAUCGAAGCCCCGGUAAACGGCGGCCGUAACUAUAACGGUCCUAAGGUAGCGAAAUUCCUUGUCGGGUAAGUUCCGACCUGCACGAAUGGCGUAAUGAUGGCCAGGCUGUCUCCACCCGAGACUCAGUGAAAUUGAACUCGCUGUGAAGAUGCAGUGUACCCGCGGCAAGACGGAAAGACCCCGUGAACCUUUACUAUAGCUUGACACUGAACAUUGAGCCUUGAUGUGUAGGAUAGGUGGGAGGCUUUGAAGUGUGGACGCCAGUCUGCAUGGAGCCGACCUUGAAAUACCACCCUUUAAUGUUUGAUGUUCUAACGUGGACCCGUUACCCGGGUUGCGGACAGUGUCUGGUGGGUAGUUUGACUGGGGCGGUCUCCUCCUAAAGAGUAACGGAGGAGCACGAAGGUUGGCUAAUCCUGGUCGGACAUCAGGAGGUUAGUGCAAUGGCAUAAGCCAGCUUGACUGCGAGCGUGACGGCGCGAGCAGGUGCGAAAGCAGGUCAUAGUGAUCCGGUGGUUCUGAAUGGAAGGGCCAUCGCUCAACGGAUAAAAGGUACUCCGGGGAUAACAGGCUGAUACCGCCCAAGAGUUCAUAUCGACGGCGGUGUUUGGCACCUCGAUGUCGGCUCAUCACAUCCUGGGGCUGAAGUAGGUCCCAAGGGUAUGGCUGUUCGCCAUUUAAAGUGGUACGCGAGCUGGGUUUAGAACGUCGUGAGACAGUUCGGUCCCUAUCUGCCGUGGGCGCUGGAGAACUGAGGGGGGCUGCUCCUAGUACGAGAGGACCGGAGUGGACGCAUCACUGGUGUUCGGGUUGUCAUGCCAAUGGCACUGCCCGGUAGCUAAAUGCGGAAGAGAUAAGUGCUGAAAGCAUCUAAGCACGAAACUUGCCCCGAGAUGAGUUCUCCCUGAGACUUUAGGUCUCCUGAAGGAACGUUGAAGACGACGACGUUGAUAGGCCGGGUGUGUAAGCGCAGCGAUGCGUUGAGC
rnacentral:rRNA from 1 species